rnacentral:rRNA from 1 species
CCUAAAGAAUUUGGCGGUAUUUUAGUCUAUUCAGAGGAAUUUGUCCCUUAAUCGAUAACCCUCGUUUUAUCUUACUUAUAUUUUGUUUUACAGUAUGUAUAUCGCCGUUAUGAGUUUAUUUUUUAAGAAUUUAAAUUUACUUAAUAUUUAUUUUAUAAUAUUUCAGGUCAAGGUGCAGUUUAUAUUUAAGUGGUGAUGGAUUACAAUAUUAUUUGAAUAAACGGAAUAUUAUUUUAAAAUUUGUGUGAAGGUGGAUUUGUUAGUAAUUUUAAUUAUAGUGUUAAUUUGAUUUAUAGCUCUAAAAUAAGUACACAUCGCCCGAUCGCUCUA